AGAGUUUGAUCAUGGCUCAGAAUGAACGUUGGCGGCGUGGAUUAGGCAUGCAAGUCGAGCGGAAAGGCUCCUUCGGGAGUACUCAAGCGGCGAAAGGGAGAGUAAUGCAUGGUUAUCUGCCUCUAGACCCGGAAUAGCUGCGGGAAACUGCAGGUAAUGCCGGAUAAUGUCUUUGGACCAAAGGUGUGAUUCCGUCUAGAGAGGAGACCAUGUCCUAUUAGCUUGUUGGCGGGGUAACGGCCCACCAAGGCUACGAUGGGUACCGGGUGUGAGAACAUGACCCGGCUCACUGGGACUGAGACACUGCCCAGACACCUACGGGUGGCUGCAGUCGAGAAUCUUCGGCAAUGGGGGAAACCCUGACCGAGCGACGCCGCGUGCGGGAUGAAGGCCUUCGGGUUGUAAACCGCUGUCGGAGGGGAGGAAAUCUUUGGGGGUACUCCCCCUUAGUUGACCUAUCCUCGGAGGAAGGACGGGCUAAGUUCGUGCCAGCAGCCGCGGUAAUACGAACCGUCCAAACGUUAUUCGGAAUUAUUGGGCUUAAAGGGUGCGUAGGCGGCGCGGCAAGUUGGGUGUGAAAUCCCUCGACUCAAUCGAGGAAUAGCGCCCAAAACUGCCGUGCUCGAGGGAGACAGAGGUAAGCGGAACUGAUGGUGGAGCGGUGAAAUGCGUUGAUAUCAUCAGGAACACCAGUGGCGAAGGCGGCUUACUGGGUCUCUUCUGACGCUGAGGCACGAAAGCUAGGGUAGCGAACGGGAUUAGAUACCCUAGUAGUCC
rnacentral:rRNA from 1 species